rnacentral:lncRNA from 1 species
GCUUCCAGAGUUCUAGCUCUUAGAACUCGACUAGCCCUGUAUCGGUCAGGUUUCUCCAAGAACUUGACUCGACCCUCUUAGAUCUUCCUUUGAACUCCUGAUUCUCUUUUUUUUAUGACCUUUUCAAUCUUUUUUUGGACCAGAUAAGGUUUUGUCUUAAAUCCCAAAACUUUGUCCUCAAACUAAGAUGAGUUAUAAGAAAGAAGGGAGAGAA